rnacentral:misc_RNA from 1 species
UCCAAAAGAUCGUAACUA